AGCUUUUGAGCUAAAUAUAUUAUAAUAUUAGUUAUUUAUAUAAAGUGUUGUAUAACUUUAUUAAAAAAUAUGUUUAGGGGUGAUAGGCUAUUCAAAAACUAAGAUAUCUUGAAUCUAAUUAAAAGUAUCUAGUACAUUUUACACGACUAUUAAGUGAUUAGGCUUAAUAGAUAUAUUAACUUUUUUUAAUGAAUUUCUUAUUAUAAUUUAAUAUCUAAAUUUUUAAACAAAUAAUCAUACAAAUAUUUGAAUAUUAUAUUAAGUAAUUAGAUAAUUUUAAGUUUAAUUAUAUUUUCAAUAAUGUUAAUAUUAGUAUAUAUUUUUAUAUAUAUAUAAUGAACUCGGCAAAAAUGUAUUUCUCAACUGUUUAUCAAAAACAUAACUAUGUGCUAUAAUACAUAGCGGUUUCUGCUCAA
rnacentral:rRNA from 1 species